rnacentral:tRNA from 1 species
AGAGGUUUAGGAUAAUAACUAAAACCAGAGGCCUUCAAAGCCCCAAACGAGAGUGAAAACCUCUCAACCUCUA